rnacentral:lncRNA from 1 species
CUGAGUGACACAAGUUAGAGUUUCAGCCACAGUGUUCCUUGCAGCAGGGAGAAUGAGGUGUCAGAUUUCCCGUCCUCCAAAAAUGACCCCUGGCAGUCAGAUCCAGUGACACUAGGUGUUUCUAAUUUUGGAACCUCGAUGCUGAGGAAGGAUAAGCAGGCGCCUCAAAGUUUCCAUGAGCAUUUUCUCAGAGCUACACAUUUCACUCUAGUGCUAGUAAAAACUUCCAGCCCCUGACCUGAGGAAGGUCACGUGACCUUUGUUCCUUGUCUCACUCUCCACAUUGCGUUUUCCAGUAAAGAUCUGGUAUGUUCUCUGCUUCUCACUCCUUGUAUCUUAGGAGAAAAGCGGGUAUUCUGCUCUGAAGGGAGAAAUGAAGAGACUGACGAGUUACCACUCCCGAAAGCCGUGGGAAGGUUCCGAUUGGGAAGAACUCUCACAUCCUCUCCUGGCAUCUCUAACCCCAAAGAUCACUGGAGGAGAGCGCUGCACGCGGGCUGCUGCUGGCUGUGGAGAGCCAGACCCAAGCCGCUCUCUGUGAGUCAGCAUCGUUGGCGGCCUGCAGGGGGAAAGAACCACAACCUACAGCGGGGAGAUUCCCCUUCCCCGGUAAUCACAACUGCUAAAUACCUCAAAUAA